UCAGCUCGUGUCGUGAGAUGGUUGGGUUAAGUCCCGCAACGAGCGCAACCCUUGUCUUUAGUUGCCAUCAUUAAGUUGGGCACUCUAAAAGAGACUGCCCGGUGUCAAAACCGGAGGAAGGUGGGGAUGACGUCAAGUCCUCAUGGCCUUUAUGCCUAGGGCUACACACGUGCUACAAUGGGCGGUACAAAGGGUCGCGAUCCCGCGAGGGGGAGCCAAUCCCAAAAAGCCGUCCCAAGUUCGGAUUGGAGUCUGCAACUCGACUCCAUGAAGCUGGAAUCGCUAGUAAUCGCGGGUCAGCAUGCCGCGGUGAAUACGUUCCCGGGCCUU
rnacentral:rRNA from 1 species